rnacentral:lncRNA from 1 species
AUGCGGCGCUACCGCGCGUGGUGGCUCUGUGUCUGGCCUGAGGCUUCUGCUCGCUCCUUUACGCCUUCAGCCAGCUCCCCGUGUCCCCGGAGGAAGGAGCGGGCCGUGGUGGCGGGAAGCCGCAGGCCGCAGUGGCUUCCUGGCUGGCGGGAGGCGGAUGCGGUGCGGUGAGAGGCGCGAGCAGCGCUUGUCCCGCUGCUCAUCCCCGCAGGUGGGACAGGUGUAGUCUGAAAAUACAGCCUGUUGAGAAAAUGUAUCUAGGUGAAAGACUGGAAGAAACUAUGACCAUGUUGAAGUCAGCUAUUAUUUUCAGGAUCAAACCUCUUCAAUUCCAGAUUUUUGCUGAAGAUCAACUACAUCAUAGCUUUAAAGGAAGGCUUGACAGGGGUCAUUUCUACAAAUAUUUAAUUAUACAAUAUACUCCAUAACCUUUCCAAGUGAGAAUGCAGCAGAGUGGAAAAACUCUUUAAACCAUGUGGUUUGCAGAGAUUGUCCUUGCCGUUAUUCCUGAAAGAAGUUGACUCUCACACUGAUAGCCUUUUUAAAAGACCAGCUGAUAAUAUUUGGUCUUUACUAAAGAAAUUUAAUUCCACACAAAUUCUGCAAUGGCCCCAGAACACAAGGAAUGUCAAAUAGGAUGGUAUAGUCGCUGUGCUAGGCAUCCAUAGUGUGGAAAAGCUGGAGUAAACUCUGGAGUUAUGUUGACAAACAUGACUUGAAUGAGAAGGAAGUAUUUCAAGAAUAAUAUGACAACUGUGUGACUACAAUGAGGAGAUAUACUUAUGACAUGGCUUAAAAUAUACAAGUUAAACAUUACAUGGGCGAUCAAGAUCUGUUGGAUAUCCUGUUUUUUCAUAAUCCAGAAAGCCUUUUUGUCUUUCCGUGUCAAUGGAAGUGUCGUCCAGAUCACUGUCUAUAUGGAAGCAGUUGCCAAGAAGCAGAAGAAGGAAUCUUUAUUUUUCACGGGAACAGAGGUGUUUACCAUGAUGAUAAGCAACCAGCAUUUAGAGCUGUUUAUGAAGCACUGAGAAAUUGUUCUUUUAAGAUGACAAUGUUCAUUCAUUAAUAAAACCUUUAGAAUUGGAACUACAAAAAAUAGUGCAUACAUAUCGUGGAAAAAUUUACUAAAUAUUUAUCAAACAAUUAGCAAAAACAUAAGAGAUCGCUAUGUCAGAUCACCAAAGGAAAGGUGAUUCUUGUUGCCUGCUACAUCAAAUGGAUGAAAAGAACAAAGCAUUGGAGGAUAAGUAUGAAGGAACUGUCUUGGGUGAAGCAUUAAGGCAGGAAUUAUUCAUCUACAGAAUUUUUUUUUUCCUGAAGAGGUUAAAUGAGCAGUAUUUUCAGUAUUGAUGAAAAUAUUAUUGAAUGGUUUUAGCCUGCAAACUUCUGUUGACUCAUACUCUCAAGAGUGGUGGGGCUGUGAAAAUGAAGAAAAUGUACCUCAAACACAGUGCAAACACUCAGAUGAGUCAGCUCUCUUCAGGAUGCGCAUUUAUUUCUCCCUUUGGAGGAGGCCUCAGUCCAGCUCAGCCAAGGACUGAAAGGCACAUCUGGCUAAUUCAAGACUGAGAAAGGCUUUUACAUCAAAUAUUGAUAAUGAUAAUAAUAAUGAACACAUGUUGAGCACUUACCAUGUCUCAAGCACUGCUCUAGAGCUUCCCAUGAAAGAACCCCUCUAAUCUUCAGAACAACCCUGUGAGAACUGGCUGAAGUUUACUUUUUGGUUCUCCAGAGACCUAGCUUCUUCCAAUGUGGUCUAUUUAAUCUCCUGUCAUGUGGGAAAUUAUAUUCAAAAUCUCCAUGAUCCUCUGUCCAUAGUAAGUUAUGCAUGUAGUGAGAAGUACAUGCCACAAGGUCUUGAGAUUAUAUCUGCAAUGUGUUGCUGCUGGCUGUUGAUCAAGAUAGGCUGGGAGAAGAUCAUUUUCAGGUGUGAAAAACUGUCACCUUUAUCAAAUAAUUCUUCUUGCAUAUUUCCCAAGACGUUGUAGCCUGUCUAAACUUGGGAGGUUAAUUUUGUAGCAUUCAUUAUGACCGAAAAUGUAGUUCACACAAUCAUGAUGCUCUCUUUAUUAGGUGUUACUGUUAAACAAUAUUAAAAUACA